UACGUAGGGGGCUAGCGUUGUCCGGAUUUAUUGGGCGUAAAGCGCGCGUAGGCGGUCCGUUAAGUCGGGUGUGAAAACCCGGGGCUCAACCCCGGGCCUGCAUUCGAUACUGACGGGCUAGAGGCAGGUAGGGGGAAGUGGAAUUCCUGGUGUAGCGGUGAAAUGCGCAGAUAUCAGGAGGAACACCGGUGGCGAAGGCGGUUCUCUGGGCCUGUACUGACGCUGAGGAACGAAAGCGUGGGGAGCGAACAGG
rnacentral:rRNA from 1 species